rnacentral:rRNA from 1 species
GUCCACGCAGUAAACGAUGAUUACUAGCUGUUUGCGAUACACAGUAAGCGGCACAGCGAAAGCGUUAAGUAAUCCACCUGGGGAGUACGCCGGCAACGGUGAAACUCAAAGGAAUUGACGGGGGCCCGCACAAGCGGAGGAACAUGUGGUUUAAUUCGAUGAUACGCGAGGAACCUUACCCGGGUUUGAACGUAGGGAGACAGUGUGGAACAUCCUUUUCAGCAAUGACUGCCUACGAGGUGCUGCAUGGUUGUCGU